AUUGAACGCUGGCGGCAGGCCUAACACAUGCAAGUCGAGCGGUAGAGAGGUGCUUGCAUCUCUUGAGAGCGGCGGACGGGUGAGUAAUGCCUAGGAAUCUGCCUAGUGGUGGGGGAUAACGUUCGGAAACGGACGCUAAUACCGCAUACGUCCUACGGGAGAAAGCGGGGGAUCUUCGGACCUCGCGCCAUUAGAUGAGCCUAGGUCGGAUUAGCUAGUUGGUGAGGUAAUGGCUCACCAAGGCGACGAUCCGUAACUGGUCUGAGAGGAUGAUCAGUCACACUGGAAACUGAGACACGGUCCAGACUCCUACGGGAGGCAGCAGUGGGGGAAUAUUGGACAAUGGGCGAAGACCUGAUCCAGCCAUGCCGCGUGUGUGAAGAAGGUCUUCGGAUUGUAAAGCACUUUAAG
rnacentral:rRNA from 1 species